rnacentral:rRNA from 1 species
AUGGCAGAGAUCAUCAAGUCUGCCAUCAUUGGGGAGACAGUUACCCAGAUUUUUUCUGGCAUAACCAACAGGAAAGACGAUGAUAAAUCAGAUGAAGCCAUCGGAGGAAGUGGCCUAGAGAGGCUGGAGAUGGCACACAUAAAAAUGGAGGCUGCACUCGAGAUGUCUGACAAGUGGCAGAUCACCGAUGUGUCACUAAUUCAUUGGCGUAAGAAGCUGAAGUGUGCUGCCCAGGAUUGCAACGACGCAGCUCGCAGAUGCUGGGAGCUCUCUCUGGAAGAAGAUGAGGCAGAGCAGGUGCUAAGCAAAUCUUCGUUUGCUACAAGGGUCGCUCAUGCGGCCAAGGCAUUUGUCUCCUCUUUCAUUGGCUGUGAAGGUGAUCAUUGCUCACGCAGCAUCGCCGCCGCCGUUCAAAGAUUCGAGAGGUUCGCUGAUGGUGCUACAGAGUUCAUUCAAUGUGUGCAGCUCGGUGGAACACCUCGACAGCCCUUCUUCGACCCUCUCAUCAGGCAUAUCUUCAAAGGCAAAACGCUGUGGUAUAUGGUGAUGCAUCCGGGAGGCCAGUAUCAAUACUUCGGCAUACGUCCUAUGGCCUUCGAGGAGCGUGGACUGGAGGCCAUGCUAUCCUUCAUAUAUGAAGAUUUCAAGGUGCCCAAGAACAGUUUUCGCCUUGGGUUCAUGCUGCGUCUUUCAGAGAGUAUAGACAUAUUCGGAACUACAGUCAAGUGCUCAAAGCGUCAAAUCUCUCUACUCGACUAUAAGAACCUACAGGGAUCAACUGCGGGAUAUGAUUUUUCUUCUCUGGAGAAUACCCCACUUCUGAAGCUGGGAAUUCUGUUCAUGCCUCAUGAUUCUCUGGAGAACCCCAAGUCCACCGGCGAGGGCUCUGCGAUAGAGGUGAUCGAUGGAGAGAAGCAACAUCUCACACAUGCAAAUGUUCAUCCUGACCAACUUGAUGAGAUAUUGCUGCCCAAGGCGAUAGAUUAUCUUCACCAUAACACCGAGACUGCGACCUAUCAGAUAGUAUGGAGGUCCAACCAUGGCAGUGCACACCUAUGUGUGGAGAAGACAAGCACAACAAGAAUUCCCAGAGCACACAGAGCCGCCAUACGACAAGGUAGGAACAAGAAUAGUAAGGCACUUCGUCGGAUGCGGCAGGAGCAGAUGAGGAAAGUGCAGUGGAUGCAGGUAGCCAAAGAUUUCCUGAAACUAUGGGUUGUGCGUUCCUCAGAGAGGUUGCAGAGCACAUUUACGUCAUGGCUCAAACAGUAG